rnacentral:rRNA from 1 species
AAAUUGAAGAGUUUGAUCAUGGCUCAGAUUGAACGCUGGCGGCAGGCCUAACACAUGCAAGUCGAGCGGAAACGAGUUAUCAGAACCUUCGGGGGACGAUAACGGCGUCGAGCGGCGGACGGGUGAGUAAUGCCUAGGAAAUUGCCCUGAUGUGGGGGAUAACCAUUGGAAACGAUGGCUAAUACCGCAUGAUGCCUACGGGCCAAAGAGGGGGACCUUCGGGCCUCUCGCGUCAGGAUAUGCCUAGGUGGGAUUAGCUAGUUGGUGAGGUAAGGGCUCACCAAGGCGACGAUCCCUAGCUGGUCUGAGAGGAUGAUCAGCCACACUGGAACUGAGACACGGUCCAGACUCCUACGGGAGGCAGCAGUGGGGAAUAUUGCACAAUGGGCGCAAGCCUGAUGCAGCCAUGCCGCGUGUGUGAAGAAGGCCUUCGGGUUGUAAAGCACUUUCAGUCGUGAGGAAGGUAGUGUAGUUAAUAGCUGCAUUACUUGACGUUAGCGACAGAAGAAGCACCGGCUAACUCCGUGCCAGCAGCCGCGGUAAUACGGAGGGUGCGAGCGUUAAUCGGAAUUACUGGGCGUAAAGCGCAUGCAGGUGGUUUGUUAAGUCAGAUGUGAAAGCCCGGGGCUCAACCUCGGAAUUGCAUUUGAAACUGGCAGACUAGAGUACUGUAGAGGGGGGUAGAAUUUCAGGUGUAGCGGUGAAAUGCGUAGAGAUCUGAAGGAAUACCGGUGGCGAAGGCGGCCCCCUGGACAGAUACUGACACUCAGAUGCGAAAGCGUGGGGAGCAAACAGGAUUAGAUACCCUGGUAGUCCACGCCGUAAACGAUGUCUACUUGGAGGUUGUGGCCUUGAGCCGUGGCUUUCGGAGCUAACGCGUUAAGUAGACCGCCUGGGGAGUACGGUCGCAAGAUUAAAACUCAAAUGAAUUGACGGGGGCCCGCACAAGCGGUGGAGCAUGUGGUUUAAUUCGAUGCAACGCGAAGAACCUUACCUACUCUUGACAUCCAGAGAACUUUCCAGAGAUGGAUUGGUGCCUUCGGGAACUCUGAGACAGGUGCUGCAUGGCUGUCGUCAGCUCGUGUUGUGAAAUGUUGGG